CCUACGGGGUGCUGCAGUGGGGAAUAUUGGACAAUGGGCGAAAGCCUGAUCCAGCCAUGCCGCGUGUGUGAAGAAGGCCUUCGGGUUGUAAAGCACUUUCAGUGGGGAAGAAAGCCUUGGGGCUAAUACCCUCGAGGAAGGACAUCACCCACAGAAGAAGCACCGGCUAACUCCGUGCCAGCAGCCGCGGUAAUACGGAGGGUGCGAGCGUUAAUCGGAAUUACUGGGCGUAAAGCGCGCGUAGGCGGUCUGAUAAGCCGGUUGUGAAAGCCCCGGGCUCAACCUGGGAACGGCAUCCGGAACUGUCAGGCUAGAGUGCAGGAGAGGAAGGUAGAAUUCCCGGUGUAGCGAUGAAAUGCGUAGAGAUCGGGAGGAAUACCAGUGGCGAAGGCGGCCUUCUGGACUGACACUGACGCUGAGGUGCGAAAGCGUGGGUAGCAAACAGGAUUAGAUACCCUUGUAGUC
rnacentral:rRNA from 1 species